GAUGAACGCCAGCUACAGGCUUAACACAUGCAAGUCGCAGGACUGGCGCACGGGUGAGUAACGCGUCUCCAACCUUCCCAUAACUACGGGAUAACCCGUUGAAAGACGGCCUAAUACCGUAUGGUACUGGCUGUGGAUGCGUCUGAUUAGUGUGUUGGCGGGGUAACGUCACACCAAUGCGACUAUCAUUAGGGGUUCUGAGAGGAAGGUCCCCCACAUGUGAACUGCGACACGGUCCAAACUCAUACCGGAGGCAGCAGUGAGGAAUAGUGGUCAAUGGGCUAGAGCCUGAACCAGCCAAGUAGCGUGCAGGAUGACGGCCGAUGGGUUGUAAACUGCUUUUAUGUGGGGAUAGGUACCACAUGAAUAAGGACCGGCUAAUUCCGUGCCAGCCGCCGCGGUAAUAC
rnacentral:rRNA from 1 species